rnacentral:rRNA from 1 species
UACGUAGGGCGCAAGCGUUAUCCGGAAUUAUUGGGCGUAAAGAGCUCGUAGGCGGUUUGUCGCGUCUGCCGUGAAAGUCCGGGGCUCAACUCCGGAUCUGCGGUGGGUACGGGCAGACUAGAGUGAUGUAGGGGAGACUGGAAUUCCUGGUGUAGCGGUGAAAUGCGCAGAUAUCAGGAGGAACACCUGCGGCGAAGGCGGGUUGCUGGGCCGACACUGACGCUGAUGCGCGAAAGCCAGGGGAGCGAACGGG